rnacentral:rRNA from 1 species
AACGAACGCUGGCGGCAUGCCUAACACAUGCAAGUCGAACGAGACCUUCGGGUCUAGUGGCGCACGGGUGCGUAACGCGUGGGAACCUGCCCUUAGGUUCGGAAUAACUCCCCGAAAGGGGUGCUAAUACCGGAUAAUGUCUUCGGACCAAAGAUUUAUCGCCUUUGGAUGGGCCCGCGUUGGAUUAGCUAGUUGGUAGGGUAAAAGCCUACCAAGGCGACGAUCCAUAGCUGGUCUGAGAGGAUGAUCAGCCACACUGGGACUGAGACACGGCCCAGACUCCUACGGGAGGCAGCAGUGGGGAAUAUUGGACAAUGGGCGAAAGCCUGAUCCAGCAAUGCCGCGUGAGUGAUGAAGGCCUUAGGGUUGUAAAGCUCUUUUAACCGGGAUGAUAAUGACAGUACCGGGAGAAUAAGCUCCGGCUAACUCCGCG